rnacentral:lncRNA from 1 species
AUACUUCUAGCCAUUUCACUCCGAAUCUCAAUGAAGACAUCAGUCAUUCAUCAUCACGAACCCUAAUCGCAUCAACAAUCAUCGAGCAUGAGCAUAUUCUGGUGUAAGUUAUUGAUUCUUGGUAUGAAACAUCUCAUCAACUUCAUCAUUCGUCCACCAGGAUCGAAGAUUUAAGAUCCGGCUUUUUUUUCCAUUAAUCGUCGGUUCCAUUUGAAUCCUAAACUGAUGGUUUUGUGGGGAUACCGCAUAAGGCGGCGAUAGAGGUGGAGUUGUUUGUCGGCGGUGGUUUAGCGUCAUCUAGGGUUCCAAUAGACAAGUUCGUUGCCGGUUACUUCACAACUGUUUUCCUGCUAUUGUUUCCGAUGACCCUUUAAUUGCUCAUGAUCAAUGGAAGCCACUAAUGUCUUUUGUAAAGAUUUUGUUCGCGAGAAACGACCCGGUAGGAACUUACUUUGCACUAAACCGGUUUGCUGAUAUUUUUGAUACAAUGAUUUUGCCGGUAUUAUUUGCCGGUAUUAUUUAUGUACACCAGCUGCUUCUUCUGAAGCACAUUUGUGUAUAUUUCUUUGUUUAGAAACUGAGUGCGAUUUACUUGCAGGAAGAGAUGGUGGAAUAUGUAACAUCCAACAUGUGGUUUCCAAUUUAGUAGUUUUUUUGGCAGUUUGAAGAUAUAUGCUUUUGCCGGGCAGUUGGCCUUUGUGCUCUUCUACCAAUUAUUUUCAUGGGAAGUCAUAUGGUUAUUGAAUUUCCGACUUCACAAACAAGUCUUUGGAAUCAUUCACUAUUUCAAAUGUCAAUGACAAAUUGAAAAGAUAAUGAACCUAGAAUCAGUUAAUCGUUUGUAUCUAUAUUUGUAUGAAUACGUAACACCAUCGAGACAACGAACACUACAUCAACCACUAUAGUUUCUACUGAAAGUCACGUACAACCAACCUCUUUUCAGAUUCGAAGAAAAAUUGAAUACACAUUCGUACAAUCGUUCAAUCAAUUAUGAAGAUGUUAAAUGUUACAAUGAACUAGAGAUUUAUGUUUAUUGCAGCGACGGCAACAGAGCUUUUUCGAUGUUCUUAUGUAGCGCUUUUUCAUUUGCUAGCGACAUCAACAGAGCUACAGAGACAACCGUUAGCUUUUUGGAUGUGGUUGUGUGACAGAAUAAGAUAAUCAGUCAUCACAAACCAGUUUCUCCUGCAGUAUAUGGUGUUUGGAUAUUCUUAUGCAGUUCUUUUUCAUUUGCCGGUGACGGCAACAGAGCUGCAAAAAAAACCGGUUCAUGUCAUGCUGGUGGAAUGAACUGUGCUGAAGCUUUGCUCCACUCUUUUAGAAUUCUAGAACAAGAUUGUGGACCAGGGGUUGGGGUUUCUAAGGGUUUUGGAGCAUUUAUCAUCUGGCCCAUUUUUAGAUUUUCAAAGCAUCACCUCUGCUAGAGAGUAAAAGUAAAAGGAGAGAGGAAGAGAAGCAUAAUGGUUACUUGCAGUUAGGUCCACCAGAUAAAGAUAAUAUUGAUGUAUCAUUAUAAUUGAAAGACCGGUUAUACGCGUAGGAUGGUGCUGAAAUGGUAAAAAAUUGGCGGUUCUAUAAUUCAGAAAAUUCUUACAGAGAAGAGACACGACUUUUGAUAGUUUUGAAAGUUAAAGCAAACAACAGGACGCAAAAAAACACUUGGUUAAUAGCAAAAAGAUAUUGCCUAUAGCAUUGAAGUAUCCUACUGGCAAAAUCCGAUG